AGUGAACGCUGGCGGUAGGCCUAACACAUGCAAGUCGAACGGCAGCACAGUAAGAGCUUGCUCUUACGGGUGGCGAGUGGCGGACGGGUGAGGAAUACAUCGUAAUCUACUUUUUCGUGGGGGAUAACGUAGGGAAACUUACGCUAAUACCGCAUACGACCUACGGGUGAAAGCAGGGGAUCUUCGGACCUUUCGCGAUUGAAUGAGCCGAUGUCGGAUUAGCUAGUUGGCGGGGUAAAGGCCCACCAAGGCGACGAUCCGUAGCUGGUCGGAGAGGAUGAUCAGCCACACUGGAACUGAGACACGGUCCAGACUCCUACGGGAGGCAGCAGUGGGGAAUAUUGGACAAUGGGCGCAAGCCUGAUCCAGCCAUACCGCGUGGGUGAAGAAGGCCUUCGGGUUGUAAAGCCCUUUUGUUGGGAAAGAAAAGCAGCAGGUUAAUACCCCGCUGUUCUGACGGUACCCAAAGAAUAAGCACCGGCUAACUUCGUG
rnacentral:rRNA from 1 species